UUGGCUAAACAAUUUGGGUAGCUCUAAUAAUGCUCUAUAAAUAAUUUCGUAGCCAACUAAACUUAAUAUUUCGAUCAAAUCUUGAAACAUACAUGGGGCGAACUUCAUUGAAAAUGAUGUCAGCUUUGAUCACAUUAUUGUUAGAUUUUCUCAUCAUGUCUGCAAAGGUUAUGUGUUUUCGCUGCAAAAGGAUCGGCGGAGACAUUAUUGCAAGCUCCAUAUCGCAUCAUGCGCGACGUUCCCCACUGUGACAAGGAUAGCGAUUGCGACAAGCUCUGUCCAACGGGCCAUGGGUCGUGUGAUGAUUACCAUAAUUGCAGCUGUUAUAACGACUAAAGAAAAUGUUUGUUUAAUUACUAUCUAUGAUUAAUUGCUUGAUUAAUAAUAUUCUCAAUAUGAUAUGAUAUCUUUGUACUUAAAUGAGAAAUUUAUCUUGUUUCGGUUAA